AUUGAACGCUAGCGGGAUGCUUUACACAUGCAAGUCGAACGAGUGGCGGACGGGUGAGUAAUAUAUCGGAACGUGCCCAGUAGAGGGGGAUAACUACUCGAAAGAGUGGCUAAUCCCGCAUACUAUUGGAGCGGCCGAUAUCGGAUUAGCUAGUUGGUGGGGUAAAGGCUCACCAAGGCAACGACCACUAGCUGGUUUGAGAGGAAGACCAACCACACUGGAACUGAGCCACGGCCCAGACUCCUACGGGAGGCAGCAGUGGGGAAUUUUGGACAAUGGGGGAAACCCUGAUCCAGCCAUCCCGCGUGUAUGAGAAGGCCUUCGGGUUGUAAAGUACUUUUAGCAUGGAAGCGGUAUCUGCAGAAUAAGCACCGGCUAACUACGUGCCAGCAGCCGCGGUAAUAC
rnacentral:rRNA from 1 species